ACCCUCCAGAGCCCUUCCCCCUCAGAUCUAAAUAUUCGCCUGAGUGGCUAAAAAAGGAGGGAAAGUAAAACUGAGGUGGACUUGGGAAUCUUUCGUGACAUACAAGUUCAUGCAAACAUAU
rnacentral:snoRNA from 1 species